UUGAAACGGUUGUGCGAACGGAAAAAUUAGUUAAACGAAAUAAAAACAAAUAAAUUCAAAAUUAUAUAGAAAAAUGAUUUAACACUUAAUAAAAAUAAAAAGUAAAUAAAAUAAAAUUAUAAAUUUAAAUAUUUAAUAAAAUAAAAAUGUCAUUAAAUGUCUUAGUUAAAUAGAAAAAUGUUAAAGAGUUUGUUUUAAAUCAAUUAAAAUUCUAUAAAAAAAAUAAAUAAAUUAUAAUUAAAUAAUAGUAGAGAGAAUAAAAAAAGUAAACAACAUUGAAAUGUUAAUUAUAGUAAAAUAAUAAAAAAAAUAUCUAAUGAAAUAAUAAAACGUGCAACGUUCAAACAGAAUUCUAAUGAUGAUGAUGUCGUCGUUCAUAAUAAUGAUGAUGACGCUACAAAAUAAUUAAAAAAAUCAUAUAAAAAAGUAUUUAUGUGAAUACUAAUACAAAGAAAUAAUAUGGUGCGUUUGUAUAAGUGUUAUAAUUCUUGGAAAUAAUUAAAAAGUGUUGGUGUAUUGUGGCCCCUUGGGAUAAGAAAGUACGUUUUCAAGUGGAUUUAACUUUAAUUCUUAAAGAAAUAAAAUGUCACUCUAGACAAUUGUGUUUUCAACUAAAAUAUUAAAGAAGAAAAAACAAAACAAAGACAAUUUAUCAAGCUGGUUAAUUGCAAAUGAUGUUACAAAACCAGGCAUUAAAUGUCACAAAACUAACAACAAAAAUGUAUCAACAACAUCAGUGAUACUAAUAACAACAACACUUGCCAGGAUAAUAAACACAAUCAAUUUCAAGUCGAAGAAAAAGAGAGAGUUACCAACAUAUAUAGACAUCAGUCAACAACAAUUUUCUUUGUGGUUGUUGUGUUGUUGGUUGUUAAGUGCUGUUGACAAUUAGUUCUUCACAAUACUCACACACACACACACUCUCAAGCCCAUCUACCGAAAACCGGUAAAAGAAUUAUGUGUGUUAGAGGAAAAGGAAAGAAAUAUAUAAACAACAGCAGCAACAAAAAUUAAAUGAAACUUAUUUGAAAGAAAAUACUUGUUAGAGUAUAAAAGGUAAUUA